AACGAACGCUGGCGGCAUGCCUAACACAUGCAAGUCGAACGAGACCUUCGGGUCUAGUAGCGCACGGGUGCGUAACGCGUGGGAACCUGCCUUUAGGUUCGGAAUAACUCAGAGAAAUUUGAGCUAAUACCGGAUGAUGUCUUCGGACCAAAGAUUUAUCGCCUUUAGAUGGGCCCGCGUUGGAUUAGCUAGUUGGUGGGGUAAAGGCCUACCAAGGCGACGAUCCAUAGCUGGUCUGAGAGGAUGAUCAGCCACACUGGGACUGAGACACGGCCCAGACUCCUACGGGAGGCAGCAGUGGGGAAUAUUGGACAAUGGGCGAAAGCCUGAUCCAGCAAUGCCGCGUGAGUGAUGAAGGCCUUAGGGUUGUAAAGCUCUUUUACCCGAGAUGAUAAUGACAGUAUCGGGAGAAUAAGCUCCGGCUAACUCCGUG
rnacentral:rRNA from 1 species